UCAGUUCGGACUGUAGGCUGCAACUCGCCUACACGAAGCUGGAAUCGCUAGUAAUCGCGGAUCAGCACGCCGCGGUGAAUACGUUCCCGGGCCUUGUACACACCGCCCGUCACACCAUGAGAGUCUGUAACACCCAAAGCCGGUGGGAUAACCUUUAUAGGAGUCAGCCGUCUAAGGUAGGACAGAUGAUUAGGGUGAAGUCGUAACAAGGUAGC
rnacentral:rRNA from 1 species